CGGAGGGUGCAAGCGUUAUCCGGAUUCACUGGGUUUAAAGGGUGCGUAGGUGGGUUGGUAAGCCAGUGGUGAAAUCCCCGAGCUUAACUUGGGAACUGCCAUUGAUACUAUUAAUCUUGAAUACCGUGGAGGUCGGCGGAAUAUGUCAUGUAGCGGUGAAAUGCUUAGAUAUGACAUAGAACACCAAUUGCGAAGGCAGCUGACUACGCGAGUAUUGACACUGAGGCACGAAAGCGUGGGGAUCAAACAGGAUUAGAUACCCUGGUAGUCCACGCCCUAAACUAUGGAUACUCGACAUACGCGAUACACUGUGUGUGUCUGAGCGAAAGCAUUAAGUAUCCCACCUGGGAAGUACGAUCGCAAGAUUG
rnacentral:rRNA from 1 species